CCUACGGGUGGCUGCAGUAAGGAAUAUUGGUCAAUGGACGCAAGUCUGAACCAGCCAUGCCGCGUGGAGGAUGAAGGUACUCUGGAUUGUAAACUUCUUUUAUUUGGGAAGAAACUCCCGAUUUCCAUCGGGAUUGACGGUACCAGAUGAAUACGCACCGGCUAAAUCCGUGCCAGCAGCCGCGGUAAUACGGAGGGUGCAAGUGUUAUCCGGAUACAGUGGGUGUAAGGGGGGAGGUAAGUCAGAGGUAAAAUCUCCGGGCUUAACCCGGAAACUGCCAUUGAUACUAUUUGUCUUGAAUACUCUGGAGGUGAGCGGAAUAUGUCAUGUAGCGGUGAAAUGCUUAGAUAUGACAUAGAACACCCAUUGCGAAGGCAGCUCACUACGGAAAUAUUGACGCUGAGGCACGAAAGCGUGGGGAUCAAACAGGAUUAGAUACCCGAGUAGUC
rnacentral:rRNA from 1 species